GAAUCUAGCUUCAGGUCUGGGACAACCACUGGAAACGGUGGCUAAUACCGGAUGUGCCGGAAGGUGAAAGGCUUGCUGCCUGAAGAUGAGCUCGCGUCUGAUUAGCUAGUUGGUGGGGUAAAAGCCUACCAAGGCGACGAUCAGUAGCUGGUCUGAGAGGAUGACCAGCAACACUGGGACUGAGACACGGCCCAGACUCCUACGGGAGGCAGCAGUGGGGAAUUUUCCGCAAUGGGCGAAAGCCUGACGGAGCAAUACCGCGUGAGGGAGGAAGGCUCUUGGGUUGUAAACCUCUUUUCUCAGGGAAGAACACAAUGACGGUACCUGAGGAAUCAGCAUCGGCUAACUCCGUGCCAGCAGCCGCGGUAAUACGGAGGAUGCAAGCGUUAUCCGGAAUGAUUGGGCGUAAAGCGUCCGCAGGUGGCUGUGUAAGUCUGCUGUCAAAGAGCGAGGCUCAACUUCGUAAAGGCAGUGGAAACUACACGGCUAGAGUGCGUUCGGGGCAGAGGGAAUUCCUGGUGUAGCGGUGAAAUGCGUAGAGAUCAGGAAGAACACCGGUGGCGAAGGCGCUCUGCUAGGCCGCAACUGACACUGAGGGACGAAAGCUAGGGGAGCGA
rnacentral:rRNA from 1 species